rnacentral:tRNA from 1 species
GUCAGAUAGCUCAGUGUAGAGCAAGACUGAAUC